AGGGAUCGGUACUCAUCAAUGACAGAUGGUGAGAAGGAAAUAUGCUUGCGCAAAAAAAGGGAGUAUAAGAAAUUAGUCCGGGAAAAUUCUUCGCCCUUGAUCACCUCACAUUGCACGCCUUACAUGCAAGCACAACCAUGUAAAACUAACCCAACAGACCGAGUUGACACAAACAGCGAUGAUGAGUCCGAUCCUGCAGGCAUUUUAGAGCCAUUUGAACAAGGUGCUACAUUGGAAGAGAACUUAGACACAUUACAAGAGAAAACAACAAUGCAUGAUGAUGAUGAUGAUGAGUGCAGGAUUUUUAGUGGUACAGG